UACGUAGGGGCCGAGCGUUGUCCGGAUUUAUUGGGCGUAAAGCGCGUGUAGGCGGCCACGCAGGUCCGCUGUGAAAACUCGAGGCUCAACCUCGAGCUGUCGGUGGAAACCGCGUGGCUAGAGUCCGGAAGAGGGGACUGGAAUUCCCGGUGUAGCGGUGGAAUGCGCAGAUAUCGGGAGGAACACCCGUGGCGAAGGCGGGUCCCUGGGACGGUACUGACGCUGAGACGCGAAAGCGUGGGGGAGCGAACAGG
rnacentral:rRNA from 1 species